GACAGAGGUGGCGACCGUUGUUCGGAAUCACUGGGCAUAAAGCGCGUGUAGGUGGCAUUGUAAGUCGGGUGUGAAAUCCCUCGGCCUAACCGAGGAAUUGCGCCCGAAACUACUUUGCUUGAGGACGGGAGGGGAGCCUGGAAUUCCUGGUGGAGCGGUGAAAUGCGUUGAUAUCAGGAGGAACAUCGGCGGCGAAGGCGGGUUGCUGGGCCGACACUGACGCUGAUGCGCGAAAGCCAGGGGAGCGAACGGG
rnacentral:rRNA from 1 species